rnacentral:rRNA from 1 species
UACGGAGGGUGCGAGCGUUGUCCGGAAUCACUGGGCGUAAAGGGCGCGUAGGCGGCCUGAUAAGUAGGGGGUGAAAUCCUGCGGCUUAACCGCAGGGCUGCCUUCUAAACUGUCAGGCUCGAGCACAGUAGAGGCAGGUGGAAUUCCAGGUGUAGCGGUGAAAUGCGUAGAUAUCAGGAGGAACACCGGUGGCGAAGGCGGGUCUCUGGGCAACAACGUGACGCUGAGGAGCGAAAGCGUGGGGAGCGAACAGG